rnacentral:misc_RNA from 1 species
AAGUCGUAACAAGGUUUUUCCUUCCGGUUAAAGAUUUUAACUGCUGAAGCCUCACACAACGACUCUAAACAAGAUGUGCAGUCUUGCCCUUAAGCUAAGACAAUACCGCUGAAAUGCUGUGAUCACGCAAGUGUACCAGCAGCCUAGGCAUCGUCCCUAGGCCCACAGAUCAAGUUGCGGUGGUCGACGGCGAACACGCUAGAGACUAUAAUAUGACCGAAUUCUAACCUGAACGGUUAAGAGAUAAUGUUCCGUAGGUGAACCUGCGGAAGGAUCAUUAAUGAGUUAGGGUCUUCUAGG